ensembl:lncRNA
GGCCCCAGUUUCACUGACCUUCAUAUAGAUCCUCAAGCAUGCUGUGUUCACUUAUACUAAAGGGCUUCCCACAUGCUAUCCCUUCUGCGGGGACUCUCCUGUUCCUUGGUUAACUCCCACUAUCUCUCAGACCUACCAUGAAUCAACCUUCCCCAACCUGCUGGGACCUCCUGACUAGGUCAAAUCCCUCAUCGCAUGCUCUCGGAAUACAAUCUACUCUCUCACCUGGUUGUGAUUUCAUAUUAUUCAUGUGAUUAUUUGUUUGUUUCUCCAAUCAUCCACAAAGGCAAGAAUAUGGCAGGUGUCCCUUUUUGUUUCAUUCAUCUUUGUCUCAUUUAUGUGUAUUUUUUUAUUAUAGAAUUAGGCGCCAAUAAUGACUUAUACAUGUAUAUAAUAAAUACAUAUCUAUUCACACAUCAUUUUGGUUUAGUUUGGGAAGAUUAUUUUUCAUUGUACUUUUGGUUACUGUGUUGUUUCUAACUUCUUGUUUCUUCCCACUGUCUUGUAUCUUCCUUGUGAACAUCUAGGCUUCUUAUAAUGGAUACACUUUUUUCUCUCUAUCUUGACUCAAUAUUUUAAUAUUUCUCUUCUUCUCUGCAUUCUGAAAUAGCUUCUCAAAUCUAUUCUCACCAAUUACUGAAUUUAAACUGUGUAAAUUCUGUUCUAUCCUGCCUCUACUUUUUAAUUUAUUGCAUAUUGCUUUCUUACUUGAGCCUGAUAUAUUCUUACCUUAGGGAGUAUGUGUGAACUCAGUCAUGUCCAACUCUUUGUAAUCCCAUGGACUGCACUCCACCAGGCUCCUCUGUCCAUGGGAUUUUCUAGGCAAGAAUAUUAGAGUAGGUUGCCAUUUUUUCCUUCAGGGGAUCUUCCUGAUCUAGGGAUCGAACCCGUGUCUUCUGUGUCUACUGCAUUGGCAGGCAGAUUCUUUAACACUGAGCCACCUGGGAAGCCCUAUUCUUACCUUAACUCUCUUUGUUAUCUUUAAAUUCCAGUCUAUUCUACAUAUUCCUUGCUGCUCCUUUUUUUCAAAAAAACUUUUUAUUUUGUAUUGGGGUAUAGCUGAUUAACAAGGUCAUGAUAGUUUCAGGUGACCAACGAAAAGACUCAGCCACACACCCAACCUUGUAUCCACCUCCCCUAAAUUCCCCUCUCCUUUAUCAUAUACGCCAUAUGUCCUAUUAUCUUGCUGAGGACUCCAAGCAGUUUUGCAAACAUUUCUACUGUUUUUUGAUAUAAUAUGGUUUCCAAAGUUUGUUUAUUUUAGGACUCAGGAGGAUGAGAUUGCAUUAAUUUGAGCUCCAAGGAUCUCUCUUUUUUUCUUUUUCUCCUUGUCCUUUUCUUCCUCUUUUUUUUUUUUUUUUUUGCCAACACUCUGUGCAUGCUACUCACUGUCUGCUGGGGAGGUGUAGGUUCUUCAGACAGAGGACAACACAACAUGUAAAGUGCCUUCCCCAAGAGCUGUUCUCUAAUGAGGCUCUUUUGGCAUGAGAAGGAAACUUCUUCAGUUUCAGAAGCUAUUUCUAUGAUGCACAUGACAAUACCUAAAUAUUUUUAUAGAUUUACUGGAGGAGAGUGUGGAGAGGGAUGGGAACUCAUAUUGUGGUCUACUCUGAAAUUUGGCCUGAAUAUUAAUGGAGAAGCUCUGAUGACUUCUCACUGAUCACUUCUUAAGUUGAUGGACAGUGUGCCUCUCUGAACUGAGGGAGAGUAAAUGAUGUGUGUCAAAGUCUCCUUUCUGCCUAUGUCCACAUUGGUGGUUUCAUUCUGUUUUAUGAGGUAAAACAUGGACAGGCAACUGCUUUUUUCUGAAUUUAGCCCCA